rnacentral:rRNA from 1 species
UACGGGGGGGGCAAGCGUUGUUCGGAAUUACUGGGCGUAAAGGCUCGUAGGCGGCCAACUAAGUCGGAUGUGAAAUCCCCAGGCUUAACCUGGGAACUGCAUCCGAUACUGGAUGGCUUGAAUCCGGGAGAGGGAUGCAGAAUUCCAGGUGUAGCGGUGAAAUGCGUAGAGAUGUGGAGGAACACCAGUGGCGAAGGCGAGUCCCUGGACGAUACCUGACACUGAGGCACGAAAGCUAGGGAGCAAACAGG